GUGGGGAAUCUUAGACAAUGGGGGAAACCCUGAUCUAGCCAUGCCGCGUGAGCGAUGAAGGCCUUAGGGUUGUAAAGCUCUUUCAGCUGGGAAGAUAAUGACGGUACCAGCAGAAGAAGCCCAGGCUAACUCCGUGCCAGCAGCCGCGGUAAUACGGAGGGGGCUAGCGUUGUUCGGAAUUACUGGGCGUAAAGCGCGCGUAGGCGGACCAGAAAGUUGGAGGUGAAAUCCCAGGGCGCAACCUUGGAACUGCCUUCAAAACUCCUGGUCUGGAGUUCGAGAGAUGUGAGUGGAAUUCCGAGUGUAGAGGUGAAAUUCGUAGAUAUUCGGAGGAACACCAGUGGCGAAGGCGGCUCACUGGCUCGAUACUGACGCUGAGGUGCGAAAGCGUGGGGAGCAAACAGGAUUAGAAACCCUGGUAGUCC
rnacentral:rRNA from 1 species